UACGAAGGAGGCUAGCGUUGCUCGGAAUCACUGGGCGUAAAGCGCACGUAGGCGGAUUGCUAAGUCAGGGGUGAAAUCCUGGAGCUCAACUCCAGAACUGCCUUUGAUACUGGCGAUCUUGAGUCCGGGAGAGGUGAGUGGAACUGCGAGUGUAGAGGUGAAAUUCGUAGAUAUUCGCAAGAACACCAGUGGCGAAGGCGGCUCACUGGCCCGAUACUGACGCUGAGGCACGAAAGCGUGGGGAGCAAACAGG
rnacentral:rRNA from 1 species